rnacentral:lncRNA from 1 species
UCCACAUCUCUCCUUGUAAUCUGAUUCAUUAUAAUCUAGGAUCAGGUCCCCCUCCUCUCCAUGUAAUCUGAAUCAUUAUGAUCUAGGAUCAAGUCCACAUCUCUCCAUGUAAUCUGAUUCAUUCUGAUCUAGGAUCAGGUCCACAUCUCUCCAUGUAAUCUGAUUCAUUCUGAUCUAGGAUCAGGUCCACAUCUCUCCAUGUAAUCUGAUUCAUUCUGAUCCAUUUGGGACCAGAGACAUGUGAAGUGUUACAGAUGUAGAACUCUGUAAAGAUAAGCAUUCCUCCAAGUAGCAGUUUAAUCUUUUUAUAACUUUAAACUGUACAGGGACUACAGCAUUUUUACAGUAAUGUUGAUUUUAAUGUGCA